rnacentral:rRNA from 1 species
AUUGAACGCUGGCGGCAUGCCUUACACAUGCAAGUCGAACGGCAGCACGGGAGCAAUCCUGGUGGCGAGUGGCGAACGGGUGAGUAAUAUAUCGGAACGUGCCCAGUCGUGGGGAUAACGUAGCGAAAGCUACGCUAAUACCGCAUACGAUCUAUGGAUGAAAGCGGGGGAUCGCAAGACCUCGCGCGAUUGGAGCGGCCGAUAUCAGAUUAGGUAGUUGGUGAGGUAGAGGCUCACCAAGCCGACGAUCUGUAGCUGGUCUGAGAGGACGACCAGCCACACUGGGACUGAGACACGGCCCAGACUCCUACAGGAGGCAGCAGUGGGGGAAUUUUUGGGACAAAUGGGCGCAAGCCUGGUCCAGCAAUGCCGCGUGCAGGAUGACGGUCCUAUGGAUUGUAAACUGCUUUUGUACAGAAGAAACACUGGUUCGUGAACA